rnacentral:rRNA from 1 species
UACGGGGGGGGCAAGCGUUGUUCGGAAUUACUGGGCGUAAAGGGUUCGUAGGUGGCCAACUAAGUCAGACGUGAAAUCUCUCGGCUCAACCGAGAAACGUCGGCUGAUACUGCCGUUCUUGAGGGAUGCAGAGGAGACUGGAAUUCCCGGUGUAGCGGUGAAAUGUGUAGAGAUCGGGAGGAACACCGGUGGCGAAGGCGGGUCUCUGGGCAUCUCCUGACGCUGAGGCGCGAAAGCGUGGGGAGCAAACGGG